rnacentral:rRNA from 1 species
GACGAACGCUGGCGGCGUGCCUAAUACAUGCAAGUAGGACGCAGUUGCGAACGGGUGAGUAACGCGUAGGUAACUACCUAUUAGAGGGGGAUAACUAUUGGAAACGAUAGCUAAUACCGCAUACUAGUAGAUGGACCUGCGUUGUAUUAGCUAGUAGGUAGGGUAAAGGCCUACCUAGGCAACGAUACAUAGCCGACCUGGGAGGGUGAUCGGGCACACGUGGACUGGGAACCGGGCCCGACUUCUACGGGAGGGAGCAGGAGGGAAUUUUCGGCAAUGGGGGGAACCCUGGCCGAGCAACGCCGCGUGAGUGGAGAAAGGUUUCGGAUCGUAAAGCUCUGUUGUUGAGGGAGCGGUACUUAACCAGAAAGGGACGGCUAACUACGUGCCAGCAGCCGCGGUAAUAC